UACGUAGGGGGCAAGCGUUGUCCGGAAUCAUUGGGCGUAAAGGGUGCGUAGGUGGUGAGGUAAGUCGGAUGUGAAAGCUCCGAGCUCAACUCGGAAAUGGCAUUGGAAACUACCUUGCUAGAGGGUUUGAGGGGGGACUGGAAUACUUGGUGUAGCAGUGAAAUGCGUAGAUAUCAAGUAGAACACCAGUGGCGAAGGCGAGUCCCUGGAAAACUCCUGACACUGAGGCACGAAAGCUAGGGGAGCAAACAGG
rnacentral:rRNA from 1 species